AGUGGAGACACUUAGGCUAAGCUGUAUUUAUUUAUACCACAGUACAUUAACCAUAAAAUGAUCUAACUACAGUAAAACCACCAUAAUCUGGAACCCUCGGGGAGUGGGUUAUUGAAGAUAGCCAAGUUCUAAGAAUUUAACAUUAACUAUUUGUGUUGGAAAUCUUUGUCGAAUGGAUCAGACCUUUGUUUCUCAUCUUGAAAACAACAUACAGAGUCUCCUUUAACUUUGAUGAUAACUCACAGUCAUUAGUGAGCGCUGGACUACGGUAACUCAAUUUGCAUUCAAGGACUCGGUUUUUGUUUUGUGUUGAGGUAGCUCUGUUGGCCUGUUUUGUUCCUUUUAGUUAUUUUCCGCAGCUGUUUUGGUUCUCAUUGGCAUUUCACAAAGCAGUCUUCGCACUGCCUGACCUGCAGUUCUCCUUGGUCCUUCAAAUGGUUGCUUUUAUGCUUCUGCAGACGUGGAGGCCAGGCAACUGGACUCUUUAGAGGACAGCCGGCGUGAGUGAGAAGGGCAGCUCAGACUGUGCAGUCCUGUCUGCAGUUGCUGGCAAGCCUGCCCCGCCUGGAGUGCCCUUUCCAGUCACAGGAAGCCUCUGUUCCAGCCUCCUGGUAGGGACUGGGCAGACCCGCCCUGACACGCCCCUUCCCUUCUCUUCCCAGAGCUCUGCAGGGCCCAUGUCAGAUAGGGCAGGGGAGCACCGGAGCACUGGGGCUUGAGCCUUGGACCUAAGGGGGCUAGUUAAACACACCUUACAAUAAAAAAUCAAGUUGAAACAGGCGAGGAUGCGCACGCCUGUAAUCCUAGCAGCUCAGGAGGCUGAGGCAGGAGGAUCGGGAGUUCAAAGCCAGCUUCAGCAACAUCAAGGUGCUUAGCAAUUCAGUGAGACCCUGUCUCUAAAUAAAAUACAGAAUACGGCUGGGGAUGGGGCUCAGUGGUUGCGUGCCCCUGAGUUCAAUUCUCAGUAACCCUCCAAAAAAAUCAGGUUUAAAAUAAGCUCCGUUUUAAAACAUAGUUUAUUAAACGAUGCCUAAUCUGCGGAUUCCCUGCUUUUUUCCCACAGGUGGGGUUUGAACCCAGGGCCCCGGGCAUGCGAGGCCAGUGCCUAUGACUAACUCACCCCCGGGCUUGACCUUCUCCUCUUCAUUCUGUUCUCUUCCCUUUUGCAUAAACACUUAACAAACGGCUUGUGUACUUUUUUUGAGACUAAAACUAAAGCCUUAAUUCUAAAAAAGCCUAUCUAGUCAAAACUGUAGAGUCCAUAACGAUUCCAAUGUUUCCUUUUGGUUUUGCACAUUAUUAGAGGUGCAUUAGGUACAUGUGUUGGGUUCUGAGCACAGUGACAAU
rnacentral:lncRNA from 1 species